rnacentral:lncRNA from 12 species
AUGAGCGUGUCUUUGGUCGGGCAGGCCGGCGCCACGUCCUCCGACAGAGCCUUCCGUUUGUGUCGAGGUGACAUCUUCAUCCUUUCUGCAGAGUCUGUGUUUGCCCCCAGGCUGCUUCGGAGCCCGGCGGGGAGCAGAGAUGCUGUCUGUCGGUCCCUCGGGAGCCAGCAGGUGUGCGCGAGGCCCCCGGUCGUGGAAGGAGCCCCGUGCCCGGUCCUGCCGCCGAGCAGCACAGGCCCCCCAGCGGGAGACAGUGCGACGGCUCCGCGGCGGACACUCAGGAAGGCGUCAAGUGCAUGCACCGAGCCUCUCCUGAAGAAAGAGGAACCAACGCAGGUGAGCGGGAAAGAUGGGGAAGGAAGCGAGAGGGAACGAGGACUGGGAAGAGGGAGGGGAGCCGAGCUGGCGGACCAGCUCACUGGGGCAGCUGUGCGCACGGUGCACGGUUGCGUUUCCCUUAAUGGUCUGUCCCUGCUUCCAGCCUGACGAAGCCCAGUGUUAGGCUUUCCCUGGCCCGUGACGCAGGAUUUUCCACAACGUACGGGUCGAUUUCAUAGACUUUUUAAAAAGGGGGAGCUUACGAGUGAGAGUUUGCAUUCUGCUUCCCAGGGCGCUUGGCUCCCCUCGGAGGCGCGCGGGCCACGGAGGUGUCAAGCUGCGGGGGGGCCCUCCUCUCUGCCGGCUACUGGUGACCCACUCCCUCCGGCCGCCUUGACGGGCUUCUGGGUCCACCCCUGGGCCAGCCUCCUGCUCCAUAGGCCUUUUCUCUGAAUUCUGAAAGCAAGAAAUUAUCUGCUGCUGCCCCAGGAUUCAACCCCAGCUGUUGGGUGGGGAGCCUGCGCCUCCGGUUCUGCAGCAGCCAGAGACCUUCUGGGUAGUGACCCGACUCGAUGACUUGGAGGAGGAGCAAGCGGCAGGAAUGUUCAGGCAGGACAAGUGUUUACUGCGCUGAGACCAUCGGGACUUGUGAUGAUGAAUGCUCGAAAGUCAAGAAUAAAUUAGUUGUCAGUGGCCCGUAGAUAAGACUG